rnacentral:lncRNA from 1 species
AAAUCAAACUGCUGGGUGCGACACUCCUUGCCUGCAUGCAGAGGACUGUCCACCCAGCUCCUUUACUCAGCUGAAUAAAAGAGGCUGAAACUGAUCUCUCAUCCGGGUUUCAACAACCAUCAGAUCCAGGCUGUGAAAGCCUUCAAGAAUACAUCAGUCUGUGGAUCUUUUUAGAUGAGUACCUAGCCACACCAACUUGUUGCUGUUAAUGGACAGAGAGCCAGUGAGCCACCCAGGAAUGGCAUGAAUUGCUACCUCGUACUCUCAGCCAGUAUUGUUUUGUGUCAGGGAAGAAGCAGACUGUGAUGAGAAACAGGACCCAGGUGAACGAGGAAGUUCCGAAGGUGAAGGAGGGAAGCAAGUUCAGGAAGCUCUUGAGUAUUACGAGGAUGUGGGACCUCAAGAGGCAUCCAGCCAUGCCAACCCUUAAGGCUAACCCUGACUUCACAACUUCAUCUGCUCAGAGAGAGAGAGAGCUGGUGUGAUUCCAAAAGAACCUGAUCGAACCAUAUGCAGCCUGUGAUCAAAGAAGAGGAGGAUACUUCACCCUGAAAUGUUGAGGUGAGACCCCUCCCAGCUUGGACCACAACCUGCCCCUGCUCUGAAUAGAAUGUGAAGUGGUGUGCAGAUUCAGGCAAGUUGCACUGUGUGUUGUUUGCUGCUUUACAGGACACGACUGAUCUUCAUUGCAAUCACCAUUCUUCGACUUCCUAUCUCUCUGAGAAGAUGACAAGGAAAGAAUUGCAUUCAGGCAAAUAUGAACCGGCCUCACUCAGUCACUCCAGCUGGCCAAACCAGCCUGGCAGCAUCAGCUCAGCCCACGGUAAACAACAACAACAACAACAACAACAACAACAACAACAACAACAACAACAACAACAACAACAACAACAACAACAACAACAACAAAACCCAACAACUGCGGGCAUGACGGUGACACUUCCUUUAGUCUGAACAGCAAUGCAGUGUCUGGAAGAACCGUAUUGUGUCAGUAGUAUGCUGCAGUUAUGUUAACAGAAAAAAGAACAGGAAAAAUGGAUGAUCAUGCAGACAUAGGAAGCUGUUUUAUCUCAAGUCCAGACUCUUGGUGUCUGUCGUCCAUGUACUUCACUGUUGUCGAGACACAUUGAUGGCACGUCUUCAGGAUUUCAGGCAGUAAUUUUCCAGUCCUACCUGCAAACCUUCUUUAUGCAACUGACCCAUGAACUGUCCCCAUUAAUAAGAGCUCCUUAAUCUGUGCAGGCAGCUGGCUGGCUCUGAAAUGGAUGAGUGGCUCAGUUGCUUUUAAAGUGUGGCAUCCAGUAAGAAAAACGGGGGAAUUUGUUGACAGAGCAUUUACCAAUGCAGCCACUGACAGAAAGUGAAGGAUGAAGGCAGAGAAAAUGAACAUCCAUGCAUCAGCAGGCCCAGCUUUUUGUGCCACAGAAGUCUUAAUGAGGUUUGCUGAGCUACUGAUAAUUGCCUUUGAAAAAUCAGGAGUCAGAGAAAUAGCAGUCAGGAUCAAAACGCUGAGGGAGAGCCGGCUUGGCGAGUUCAUAAAGGAGUUUCACCCAGCGGUUAUUAUAGGUGGUUAGGGAUGGAAAAUAUUUCCUUUGAGGCUACAACUCCUCAAAUUACCCAACCCAUAUGGCCACUGACCAUUGCUGCCGAUUGUAUUCUGGGAACUGUCAACUGAAAAAGAAAUGCUUCCCGUCUCUGCGGAUGAUACCUGGUCUCUCUCGGAUCUACAGUUCUGCCAAUAGCCAUUGGGUUAGAUGGUUUUUAAAUGAGACCAGACCUGAACUCAGGGAAUUACUUUCCCCAGAACUCCCCAACCUGAACAGCCAAUGAUUUUGAUUCCUUGAUUCUUUGGGGGUCAUUUGGCAGAUUUUUGGCCAUUUUUUCCUUAUUUUUAAGAGUGUUUUGGUGAAACGAGUGAUGGAAAGGUAUUAUUAAUACGGUCUACCUAACUUUGCUCUUAAAGCAAUGAAUAGUGACCUUCUUUGAAAAAAGGAUGAGGAACACAAACCAUUUGUGUAGUAUUUUAAAAAUCAUGUUUCAAGUGCUGUAAUUGUAUGUUUGAAAAUAAAACAAAUAUUCGAAAACA